CUCUCUGGUCAUGCCACCCUGAACAAGCCCAAUCCCAUCUGAUCUCGGAAGCUAAGUAGGGUCGGGCCUCGUUAGUACUUGGAUGGGACCACCUAGAAAGACCAGGUGCUGUAGGCG
rnacentral:rRNA from 1 species